UCGCCUGCCACGUUCUCCCUCUAUCCUCCCUGCCUGUCCUCCGUCCGAUCCCCCUCCUGCUGAUUGCGAUUGGACCCCGGACUCGUAAAAUGUUGUUUCCAUCUUGCUGUUCGUUACGGUUCGAUUUGUUAUCGAAGGUGUGUUCGUGGCGCUUAAUGCGUGUGGCCGAUUUUGUUAAUUGUAGUGAGAUGUUCUGGGUUUGUGAUGUUUAGUGGGCACUAUCAAAGAUAAGCUGGCGAUUAUGCCAGGCUUCGUCAAUUAGGCUGUUCCUAGCUCGGGAUGGAUGAGUAGCCGCAUUUCCCAGUCAUUCAGUGUCAGAUGUUGCACAGUGUAGCAGUCAAGCAGUGAUAGUGCAGGUUAACAGCUAGUUGGCAAUGGGUAUGUGGCGGUGUGUACCUCUGUUACGCGGAUACUCCUAGGAGGUGGCAUAUCCGUAUCCGAUACGUAUCGGAUACGGAUACGCCCCGGAUACGCCUUGGAUACGUUUCUAGCCGUAUCCUGAAAAAACGGAUAUGUAUUUGCUUGGAUACGCGUAUCCGAUACUUUUGGGCCAGAUGGGAUACAGCCCAAAGCAGUAAUCAGCCCACCCUAAUGCUGUUUUGGUAGUAAGAGAUGAUACAAAAUGAUGAACUUACUGCAAUAGAACUGUAGAACUAGAUGAGCAGCAACUGAAGAACCCCUUGUGGAAUCAGUUGUGCUUUUAGAGAAGGCUAGUUAUAGAGGUAAUGUUAUAUGGACAUGCAAGUAUUGCACAUCUGAGUAUAGGUGAAGUUACUCAAGAGUAAAAUCUCACUUGCUGAAUAUCUAUGUGAUAUUUAUAUAUAAUUAUUAAUUAUCCUAACCGUAUCCCCGUAUCAGUGUUUUUUGGGAAAGUGCGUAUCCGCGUAUCCGAUACGUAUCGUAUCCGAUACCCGUACUAGUAUCCGUGUAACAUAGGUGUGUACGCUUUGGUUAUCAAAAUGCCCAGCAGCUGAGUAGUUCUGCAAUCUUCUGCUGAGGUUGUGAUAAUAAGUAAUAGCCAGUAGCAUUUCCUGAGAAACAUUUGAAGAAGCCUGGGAUCUUGUGGAAAGAUGUUACACUGAGCUGAUAUGAGACUUGAUUUGUAGCUGCUGACGAAUACAGAAAAUUCCGAAUUAUGAUCACAUGAUGAAUGCUAGAGUCCUGGUUGCACGAUUGCUUUGAAAAUAAUGUGGAUAAAUUGGUGAGGCAGCACGGAUUAGGCAGUGCACUAUUAAUCUGGUGAUUUUGUCAUUGUUAGAUAGCUCAUUUUGGCUGUAAAGUCAUCCAUAAAAAAUGAGCUCAUACCUUUACUGCUUAGUUUGUUUCUUUAAAACAAGAGUUCUCCUUUGCAACCAUUAAAUUACUGUGUGAUUUCCUAAGUUGAUUACCCUGAAGUUCUAAGAUAGGAAGGCUACACUUGCAUGAAACCUUUUUAUAGUUUUAAGUUUUAACCUUAUAUGUGUUUCUGUUACUUCUGAUUUUUAUCCUUUAUGUGUAUCUGAUUGUUCUGUGAGAGGGUAGCUUUUGAUUCUGCCAUGCUCAUUUGCUAAAGCAGUUUGCAUGAACCAUACGAUUUGUGUUUUUCGUUUCAGUUUCUUACCAUCAACUUAUUAAUUGUAAUCAUAUAGAUCCUAGGGACAAAACAGUGAUUAGUGAAGUCCCGAAUGUAGCCAAGAUUGAUAAAGUUAUAGUCUCUGGCAUAACUAAUUCCGCCGAAAACUGAUGUUGCGAUGCUUAGGUUUGUACUUGGUCUUACAGCUGAAAUACAGAUACUUUCUAUCUACCAUAUAUCUUCUUACAGUGGUUAGUUCAGUGUUUUUAACCCAAACUGGAAGUACGGGUAGCAAGAACCUACUGCUGCAUGUUGUGUCACAACACCUUUUCUUCCACUAGUAGGCUGGGAACUAUCCUACUGUAGAUCUUUCAUUUAGCCGCCUUCUAUUUCUCUUGAGUCAGUUGAUUCAAAACUAACCAGUUAGUGUGGUAACAUAUUGCAUUUGUUAAAUUUGAUCCACCCUAGAUAAUCUUGUUCAAUUAGAAUGUUCAGUCAAGGCCAGAUGAUCUUAAAUCAUUGUGAGUACGGUGUGGCAUAGCCAUAAAUUAAUCAAGCGGAAUUACAUGUAAUGCCAACAAGUGAUUCAUGGAAGUAAAUGAGUUACGGAAUUCACUAUUUUAUGACAUCGCGGUUACACGCUGAAGAUGCUGGUAACACAGGUUCAAGACUAGUUCUAACGUGCAUGGUUGCAUCUCCCAGGAUGUUAGGGGAUAUGUUUCUCACAAGUAUCCUGUAUUAUAACAUGAUACGCAAUGGAGGAAUUGUUCGUCUUUUGCCAAACUUUAUACCUUUUUUAAUACACUGUACUGGUACAGCAAUUUAGUGAGAACAAGUGAAUUAAGAGAGCAUUUCAUUCAUCUUUGUCUCAUAUGAUUUUAAAAGAAAAGAACUGGUGAUGUCAACCUGGCUUUAUAUUCUACUCAUUAAGUUUGUUUUAGGAAACCUAUGAAAACGAGCCCAUUAUAGUUAUGCAUUUCUUGAGUAGAAGCCUGAAGUGGUUGAAUUGGUGUUGCCAUACUUCCAUGUGCCCUUUUUUUGAGGGGCUUCUUGAGCAUUGUGGCCAGGGAGUUAAAUUUAUAUAGUUUGCACAGGAUAGAGGUUAGAACUGGGAAGUUCAUUGUCAGUGUUGACAUUAUGGCUUGUAUUAUUUGAGAUCUACCAUAUCCUGAGGCAUCUGGCAUUCUUUAGAGGUUUAAAAAGUUCAUGAUAUGCCCUGAAUAAUUGCAUGUUCUACAAUAUACAAUAUGACACUUGUGCACGGCAAGGUUUAUAUGCGGCGCAAGAAGAAGGCCCAGGCGCCAUCGGCCGUGCCGGACGGGGAACAGUUGGCCAAUAAAAGUGGCUAGGUUUUAGGAGUUUGUUUCCUUGUUAGUCGGAUUGUGUCAAGAGAUAGAGUUUGAGUUGGUUACGUAGUCUUAGCAUUAUAUAUAGUCUUUAGCUUGUAACUUGGGAUGAUCAUCAAUCAAGUAUCUUCCACAUACCGUUUCUCCUACGUUGAAGGGAGCAGUCCUGCCCUCUGGUUGCCGCGCCGCCACGACGGCGUCGAGGCGGCGUCCGAAGGGUCCAGGGCCGCGCCCCUCUACCUCUCACGAGUACAAUCUACGACAUCUUCCUCCCUCCAACAUCCCCGUCCAUAACAAUCUGGUAUCAGGGAUGCCAGGUGACGAUGUGGAUGCAGCGGAGUCCCUCAACAAAUCCAUCCAGAAGCUCUCAGAUCAGAUGACCAGCCUUCAGAUGACCAGCCUCUCCAAGGAUUUCAAGGCCUUGAAGCCGCUCAUCCCGGCGGUGAACGAGUUGGUCAAGCUGCCCGCUGCGAUGAAGUCACUCGCGGGCUCGGUCAAGGAUGCCGAGCAGCAAACCGCGGCCCUCAACUUGGCGGUAUCCAAGCUCGAGGGCUCCGGGUCAAGCAAGAUCGCCAAACUCGGUAUCCAAGCUCGAGGGCUCCGGGUCAAGCAAGAUCGCCAAACAUUCUGGCAAGGAGAAGAAAAAGCAGAUCAGGCCGGUGGACGGCGAUGAUGCGGAGUAUGGGCCGUCCGAGUCCGAGGGCGGGGGUGGCGAUCCGUCCGACCCAUCGUCCUCCUCCGAGGGGUCACGUUCGCCAUCACCGCGUCGUCACCGUCGUGCGUACUGUGACCGGGACGCCCGCCGCCGUUUCCGUGGCGAGGACGAGGAAGACCGGCUCCCGACGCGAGUCCUCAAGAUCGACUUCCCGACGUUCGAUGGAUCUGGUGACCCAUUGAUCUGGCUAAAUCGCUGCGAGAUCUAUUUUCGAGGCAACAAAACCCCGUCACGUCGGCGCGUAUGGAUGGCAUCCCUGCACAUGACGGAGUCGGCACAACUGUGGUACUACAAGUAUGAGAUGAACAACGGCGAGCUGUCGUGGCGCGAUUUCGUCCGACUCGUCCAGAAGCGGUUCGGGCCAACCAUGACCGACACGCCGCUGGGGAGCCUUGCCCUACUACGCCACGCCAGGAACGUCGUCGACUACUCUAACAAGUUCAUGCACUUGGCAUGUCGCGAGGCGGAGUUCUCUGUACUCCAACAGGUGCAUCUCGACGAUUAUGCAGCAGUGUUCCAGGAACCGCACGGCCUGCCUCCGGAACGUCGCCACAGCCACCGUAUUCGCCUGGUGGCCGGCACCGACGCGAUUGCGGUGCGCCCGUACCGCUACGCACACCUGCAGAAGGACGAACUGGAACGCCAGUGCGCCGACAUGCUUCGACAGGGGAUCAUCCGUCCAAGUUCAUCAGCGUUCUCCUCCCCGGUCCUACUGGUGCGCAAGCCGGAUGGGUUUUGGCGUCUCUGCAUCGACUAUCGCGCGCUGAACGCGAAGACCCUCAAGGAUAAGUUCCCCAUUCCCGUGGUGGAGGAGCUUCUCGACGAACUUCGGGGUGCCAUGUUCUUCACCAAAUUAGACCUCCGCUCAGGGUACUACCAGGUUCGCAUGUUUGAGGGCGACAUCGACAAGACAGCUUUCCGCAUGCACCAAGGGCUGUUUGAGUUCUUGGUCAUGCCGUUCAGGUUGUCGAACGCGCCGGCUACCUUCCAGGCGUUGAUGAAUGAGGUACUCCAACCGUUUCUCCGGAAGUUUGUAUUGGUUUUCUUCGACGACAUCUUGAUCUACAGCACUUCCCGAGCCGAGCAUCUGCGCCAUGUCCGCCUCGUCCUCGACACCCUGCGCUAGCACCAGCUGUUCCUCAAGCGCAGCAAGUGUACCUUCGCCCAGACGUCUGUCACGUAUUUGGGCCAUGUGAUCUCGGAGCAUGGCGUGGCCAUGGACCGCGGCAAGGUGGACGCGGUGCUGGCAUGGCCCCAGCCCCGUUCAGUCCGGGCUGUCCGCGGCUUCCUCGGCCUCGCGGGCUAUUACAGGCGCUUCAUAAAGGACUACGGGGUCAUCGCGGCUCCCUUGACGAAGCUGCUACGGAAGGAGGCCUUCCACUGGACAGAAGAGUCCACGGCUGCCUUCCGGGCUCUCCAGAACGCGCUCACCUCCGCCCCGGUGCUCCAGCUGCCGGACUUCUCACAGUCCUUCGUCGUGGAGUGUGAUGCAUCGGGGUCGGGAUUUGGGGCGGUGCUGUGUCAAGAGGGCGGGCCGAUUGCCUUCUUCAGCCGACAGAUCGCGCCGCGACACGCCAAACUUGCCGCCUAUGAGAGGGAGCUUAUCGGUCUUGUCCAAGCGGUGCGCCAUUGGCGGCCUUAUCUCUGGGGCCGGGAGUUCGUGGUGCGCACAUACCACUACAGCCUCAAGUUUUUGCCUGACCAACGUCUUGCCACGAUCCCACAACAUUAGUGGGCAAGCAAACUUUUGGGUUUUGAUUUCAGGGUGGAGUACAAGCCAGGCGCCCAGAACGUGGUGGCGGAUGCGUUGUCACGUCGCGAUGCUGAUGGCGAGGGCGAGCUGGCUGCGCUUUCUGCUCCGUCCUUCCAGCUCUUCUCCGAGCUCCGGGACGCGGUUGCGGCUGAUGCGUCUUUGGCCGAACAGCGCAGCAAGGCGGAUCAAGCAGCGGAUGGGUGGAGCUGGGUCGAUGGCCUGUUGCUCCGCCAUGGCAAGAUCUACGUACCGGCUUCACUGGACCUCGCCGACACACUGAUCGCCCAGGCACAUGGCGCGGGUCAUGAAGGCACACAAAAGACACUACUUCGCCUACGUGCUGACUUUGCCGUCGACCGAGAUCGCGUACGAGUGUGUGACUUCGUCCGGCGCUGCGAGGUGUGCCAACGUAACAAGACCGAGCACCUCCGUCCGGGCGGCCUCCUACAGCCUCUACCGGUUCCGUCGACGGUAUGGGCUGACAUCGCCAUGGAUUUCGUUGAAGGCGUACCACGUGUGAACGGCAAAUCAGUCAUCCUUACGGUGGUGGAUCGGUUUUCGAAGUAUGCUCACUUCAUGCCGCUUGCACACCCCUACAUGGCGACCUCGGUGGCGCGCGUGUUCUUCGACGAGGUGGUGCGUUUUCACGGGUUGCCGGCUUCUGUCGUCAGCGAUCGUGACCCGGUCUUCACCAGCUCUUUCUGGCGCGAGUUGUUUCGGCUGUCCGGAGUGCAGCUGCAGUACUCUACGGCGUUUCACCCCCAGUCGGAUGGACAAUCGGAGGCGACGAACAAGAUAAUCAUGAUGUAUCUGCGGUGCUUGACGGGAGAUCGACCGCGGUAGUGGCUCAGAUGGCUUCCAUGGGCGGAGUAUUGUUACAACUCCUAUCAGGCCUCCAUCAAGACAUCACCAUUCAGGGUCGUUUACGGCCGUGACCCGCCUACCAUCGCGGCGUACGGGCCUGGCGACUCCAAGCUGCCGGCGGUGGAGCAGCAGAUGUUGGGACGUGAUGAGUUCCUUACUGAGAUCAAGGACAGAUUGGAGCAAGCACAACAGCAGGCCAAAUCUCAGUAUGACAAGACCCACCGGCACGUGGAGUUUCAGGUGGGGGACUGGGUGCUCUUGCGUCUAUUGCACCGGCCGACAGCGUCACUCAAUGAUACUCGUGGACGAGGGAAGCUAGGCCAGCGUUACUUCGGCCCGUACAGGGUGCUUGAGCGGAUUGGACCCGCAUGUUGAAAGAACUGCACCAGAAGUGUCCCAAAGAGAUGGACGCGUAUGCUGGUUGCAUGUAUUACUUCACCAAUGAAUUUGACUUCUGCCGUAAGGAGCAGCAAGCUUUUGAGGAAGCCUGCCCCAUUUCUGAGUAGAUCAUUCAGAGUUUUACUUCAAGUGAUCUUCGCCAAUAAGGAGAAAAGCCAACAAACCGAGUUCAUUAUCUCCCAUGUUUGCUGUCCUCAUGUAAUUUUUACUGAAUGAAUAGCACACCCUGGAGCUAUUCACCCCACUUGUCUCUCUAUAUUUUUCAAACUUGAAUUGACUCAGCCCAUCAGUCGUAGGUUCUAAAAUGAUGAUGAUGAUGGUUUCACUUGUUGUGGUUCACAAAAUACAUUUGGCGGACCUGCCCUUGUUUCUGGCCGAGUGCUGCUAA